CGCGAGCUCUACAGCUUCACACUUCGUCGGCGACAAGUGCGAAGCAGUUUUUAGAAGGACUUCCGGUCACACUUUUAAAGAAGAGGUUGCAGUUGUUAGGGACAGUGAUUCAAGCCGUAUCUCCACUGUCUCGGCAGUAACAACUGACUGUCCUGCAUAGAGCAAUGACCUCAAACACAUCCUUCAAGUGAAAAGAAAAAUUAAAUGUUCAAGUUCCGGUACUAUCUUGUCUGUUUGAUGCUCACUUGACGCUGGUCCAUUUCGCCACCGCUAUCUCCAGCAGACACACCCCGCCAGCGGUCAGACGGGAGCUGGACAUGAGAAUGAUGGUAGUUGUACACGCAGACGAUGCUGCCUUCAAGUACGGCUUGUGAGAUGCUAAAACUAGAUCAGUUUAGAACCUUUUUGAACAAGUUUCAAAGCACUACAAGUACCGCUUGUCCAUACUUAACAUGAGUUUAUGAUUGAUUUCUGGACACAGUCUAAAUGUGAAUAUAAUUUAGGGUCCUAAUAUUUUUCUAUUAACGUCCUAAAACAGGUAGUCAGUAUCCACAUAGAAGAGGCAGAGGGUAUAGUGGGGCUCAUUUCAUGGAUCUUCUUGGGUAGGGUUGGGAUUAGAAAAAGAUUCUGAAUUGGGUUAAACACAAUGGUUGUGACUUUUUAGAGGUCCACUUUCCCGAUGACUGUGUAAUUAUUUUUAGUUAUUAUUUUUGUUUUUAAUGACCAUUUCAUGUGUUGCCAUGAAACCAGGCUCUACUAUACAACAGACCCUUACCAUAACUCUAACACAAACCUAGUUUGCUAACUUUAACCCCAAAAGCAAGAAUUAACCCUCAAACACACUAUUGAAAUGAACAUGAAAGAAAGAAACCAUGUCAAAAAGUCAAAAUCUUACUAAUUAUGAACACUCAAGUGGUCCAAACUCUCACAAAACUGGAAAAGUGUGGAAAUAGUCAGUAUUUCUUAUGCUCUACUUAUUUAUUUAUUUUUUGUUUGUGAAUAUAAUUUUGCUUGUUCUCGCUACUGAACUGAUUUCUGUCUUCCUCAAAACACUUCCUGUAUAGUGCUGCCCACCCCAAUGAUACCAUAAUCAAAUGUGGUCAGGAUACUACAGUGUUUGGACCUGAAAUUGUCAGCUUAGAGUUCAGAAAACAGUCCACUGAACACACUCAAAACUAAAGAAAUCACCUUCAACUUCAGGAAGAAGCAGACAGGACACUUGAACAGGCAUGCCAGCUCAGUGUUGGAGGCUGUGGUGCCUGACAGAGUGCUGAGAAAGAGGAGCCUUAUGUUCCUGUGGGCUGCGCAGUGGCAAUCCGGCAACUCAUCUUAGAUUGCUAUGAUGUCAUCCAUAAAAUUUCCAAACAAGACUUCUGUCUACUCUUGAAAUGUGAAGAAUUAAUCCUUGCGUUCUGUUUAAUGUUUGAUAAGUGCAGACCUGGCUCCCUUCUACAUCAGCAUUAACUCUGCAGAGAUGGUAAACAUUAGUACUUUUUACCUUUAAAAAGCAUUUCUUCAGUGCAUUUGAAGGCGUGGCUGCUCUGUGUUGUUAUAUGUGGGAUAAUAACAAUACGGACUAAUUCUAACAGGAUGAUUCAGCUCCAUUGCCACAAGAACAGACGCAAGAAGUCUUUCAUAACUGCAAUAAUUGUGUAGAAUGAAACACCUGUUUAGCAGAGAAAUAUCUACUAUAUAUUCUCUGUUUAAUUUAUUUUUAUGUUUAAUUAAACUCAUUCAUG